AGGGCUAGCCUCGGAAUUAGGAUCAUGGAGGUAGAGCACUAUUUGGACUAGGGGCCCGUCUUGGGUUACUGAAUUCAGAUAAACUCCGAAUGCCAUUGAUUCAUAUCCGGGAGUCAGACGAUGAGUGAUAAGAUCCACCGUCGAAAGGGGAACAGCCCAGACCAUCAGUUAAGGUCCCUAAAUGUAUGCUAAGUGGAAAAGGAUGUGGAGUUGCAUAG
rnacentral:rRNA from 1 species